rfam:Oryza rufipogon genomic scaffold, chr02
AAUAAGUGCAGUUUUGUACUAUUCAUAUUUAACGUUUGACCGUUCGUCUUAUUUGAAAAUUUUUUAUGAUUAGUAUUUUUAUUAUGAUAAAAUAUGAAUAGUACUUUAUGUGUGACUAAAUAUUUUUAAAUUUUUCACAAAUUUUUCAAAUAAGAUGGACGGUCAAAUGUUGGACACGGAUAUCUAUGACUGCACUUAUU